GAUGAACGCUGACAGAAUGCUUAACACAUGCAAGUCAACUGUGGCGGACGGGUGAGUAACGCGUAAAGAACUUGCCUCACAGAUAGGGACAACAUUUGGAAACGAAUGCUAAUACCUGAUACGGUGAGAGGGCUUUGCGUCCCAUUAGCUAGUUGGAGAGGUAACGGCUCACCAAGGCGAUGAUGGGUAGCCGGCCUGAGAGGGUGAUCGGCCACAAGGGGACUGGGGCACGGGCCGUACGCAUACGGGCGGCAGCAGUGGGGAAUAGUGGAAAAUAGGCCACAGUCUGAUCCAGCAAUUCGGUGUGCACGAUGAAUUUUUCGGAAUGAAAAGUGUUUUCAGUUGGGAAGCGGUACCAACAGAAGAAGUGACGGCUAAAUACGUGCCAGCAGCCGCGGUAAUAC
rnacentral:rRNA from 1 species